GUCUAUUAAAACUGAGGGCCCGUGAAACCAUAAUGCAUUAUGCUGUAAAGUGUGAGGCUCCAAUCCUCUUGACAGGCAAUCUGCCGGGUUGACAGAAGUAUUUAUGUAAUGCCAUGAAAAAUCCUUGGUAUGGUCAUUAAUAGUUUUGAUCCUAUUAGCUACAUACACGUUAAGUUUUACUGGAUCGAUUUUUAGCCAAGAAAGCACUAUUUGAGAAUCCAAAUAUAGAUACACACUUGCAUUAAAUUUUAAUUUUAUAAUAUCAUACACCUUGUGCGCUAGUAUUGCUAAUAGCAAAGCGCUAUUUAGCUCUGCGCGUGGCGUGGUUAGUUUCUUAAUUGGGUUCACGCGUGACCUUGAGCAAAGCAAGUUCACUGUAACCUUGUGGUUAUUAUCAAUAAGUUCAAUAACUCUCAAAUAAAUGCAACAUCCAUAAGCAAGAUUAGAACCAUCGGCAAAUCCAAAAAUGUCGAUAGAUUUUGCAUUUUGUGUAUCCAUAUUUCGAUUUAUUACAAUAUCUGGCAUUUGUAUUAAGUUGUUAGCGAAAGCUCUAAACUCUUCGUUGAGCCUGGUUGGUAAUGUGGAGUCCCAAGUUGGGACGUCAAGCCAAAUUUGCUGCAUCAAGAGCUUUGCCUUUAACACAAUGGGUCCGGCCAAGCCCAGCGGAUCAAACAUUUUGCUUAUAAAGCUCAAUGCCUUUCGCUUUGUAUAAUGUUCAAGCAUCCCCUGCUUGGGAGAACUUAUUAUAAGUGUAUCUUCAGAUAGGUUGCACUUAAGACCUAAUGUGCGUACAAAAUCAGUUUCCUUAUUUUCAGAAAAAUUGACCUCUUUACUCUUCAUUUUACAAUUUGAUGGAAGGCCGUACAAGAGCGAACUAUCAUUUGCACUCCAUUUAUGUAGGCUAAAGCCGCCUAAUUUUAACAAUUCUAUUAACUCAUCACGAGUUUUCAUUACAAGUUCCUUGUCGUUACAAGCUAUAUUAGCAUCAUCAACAUAUGUGUUGUGAAGCAACACGUCUGCAGCCAGGGGAAAACGCUCCUUAUAUCUAUAGACCAGUUCGAGUAAGCAUCUGCAGUCUAGAAAGCUACUACUUUUGAGACCAUAGGUCACGGUCUGAAGCUGCAAGCAUUGUAUUUCUUUAUCGGGGGUGUCCCUCUAUAAAAUAUUUUGUAACGGACGAUGUGAUGGAUCGACUAAAACUUGUCUAAACAUUUUACGUAUGUCGCA